rnacentral:rRNA from 1 species
GAUGAACGCUGGCGGCGUGCCUAAUACAUGCAAGUCGAGCGAACAGACGAGGAGCUUGCUCCUCUGACGUUAGCGGCGGACGGGUGAGUAACACGUGGAUAACCUACCUAUAAGACUGGGAUAACUUCGGGAAACCGGAGCUAAUACCGGAUAAUAUUUUGAACCGCAUGGUUCAAUAGUGAAAGACGGUUUUGCUGUCACUUAUAGAUGGAUCCGCGCUGCAUUAGCUAGUUGGUAAGGUAACGGCUUACCAAGGCAACGAUGCGUAGCCGACCUGAGAGGGUGAUCGGCCACACUGGAACUGAGACACGGUCCAGACUCCUACGGGAGGCAGCAGUAGGGAAUCUUCCGCAAUGGGCGAAAGCCUGACGGAGCAACGCCGCGCGAGUGAUGAAGGUCUUCGGAUCGUAAAACUCUGUUAUUAGGGAAGAACAAAUGUGUAAGUAACUAUGCACGUCUUGACGGUACCUAAUCAGAAAGCCACGGCUAACUACGUG